UGGUGUCAGAAGUAGUCGGACUGCGGCCGACGUACGCAGCCGGUGAAGGAAAAGCGGACUGGUAGCAAGCCAACAAGGGUGGCUCGAAGGUCCGAACUAGUACGAGAACGGGGAACAGCGCCAGCAGACCAGCGCCCCAGUCGCCACGCUACUGCCACCGCCGAGAGUCCUGGACACCACAGGAGACGCAUGGUAAAGUUGGAAGACGUGGCGGCAGCAGUUCGAGCUCUUCGCAACGGCAACGUACCUAAACCAGCAACCCAAAGAGAGACUUAUGGGCCGACAGGCGAGGACGCUGCUACUAGUCGCAGAAAGCCACCUGCGACCGCAAACCAUACCCCUUCAAGACGUGCAACGGCGGCUCCGCGACAUCAGGCGUAAACAACGUUCCUUCUACAACCGAGUCACAAGGCUGAGCUUCCUGAUAGCUCCCGCGUCACAGUGUACAGCAUGCCAUCAAAAACCUGGUCCACUGCAACAGUUGUCAAGCCUGCCAACAGCCGAGAGCCUACAUUAUCGAAACCGAAGAUGGGCUCCAGUUGCAGCGCACCAGAGAACACCUGCGUCUGGCACCAACUCCUGCGGCAGACUCAUUGGCGCCCACCCUAGAACAUCGACUCACGGGGGGAGGCACAGAGCCACAACUGCGUAGAAGCGAACGCAACCGCCGACCACCACGAAGAUACCCGAUGCCAGAACUUGAGUGAUUUUGAUUUAAUAAAAAAAAAAGCAGAUCUGACGCAAUGUCUUGCACACGCGCACUCAGUUGGCUCUAACGCCCCAUUUGAUAGUAUGUACGUGUGUGUGUAUGUAAGUAUGAAGAGUGUGUUUCGUUCAAUAAAGGCCCUUUCUCUUGA